CAUGGCUCAGAACGAACGCUGGCGGCGUGCUUAACACAUGCAAGUCGAACGCGAAAGGGGCUUCGGUCCUGAGUAGAGUGGCGCACGGGUGAGUAACGCGUAAGUGAUCUACCCCUGUAUCUGGAAUAACUAUGGGAAACUGUAGCUAAUACCGGAUACGUUCAUGUGAUUGCGAUCAUGUGAAGAAAGAUGGCCUCUGACUUAAGCUAUCGUACAGGGAGGAGCUUGCGUACCAUUAGCUAGUUGGCAGGGUAAUGGCCUACCAAGGCGACGAUGGUUAGCGGGUCUGAGAGGAUGAUCCGCCACACUGGAACUGAAACACGGACCAGACUCCUACGGGAGGCAGCAGUGAGGAAUAUUGCGCAAUGGGGGCAACCCUGACGCAGCGACGCCGCGUGGAUGAUGAAGGCCUUCGGGUCGUAAAAUCCUGUCGGAUGGGAAGAAGUGUAAUGUGGUUAAUA
rnacentral:rRNA from 1 species